GGCCGCGAGCUGUGACCGGCACCGGCGGGGCCGCCCCCCGCGAGGAACCGCAAGGCACGGCCGCCUCGGGCUACGUGCGGGACCCGCUGCCCGCCGACACCGGCGCUCGGCACGGCUCCGGAAGGCGCUCCCGGGCACGGGGCGCACCGUGCCGCAGAACACGCGCUUCGCUGACGAGAAGGGAUCAGGGGCCGCACGGAACAAAACGGGAAGGCUCUGUGAGGAGAUAUAACCAAGUUGGUAAAGUACUUUGGCUGAGAAUGCUGAAGACGCCAGCUGGGCACCUUCCUCCGGUUCUAACUACAGCACACACGAGGCGCCUGCCUGUGUUUUAUUGCUGCUGUUGCAGGAAUCAUAUACCUACAAACGAAGCUGGAGCAGUACAGAGGAGCACAGGGAAAGAUACAGAUGCCCAGAUGCUUCAGGAUAGAACACGGGCCUGGGAAAAGGGCAGGCGUUUGGAAUGCUUUCUGCACAAGUUGAGAAAUGUUAUGGAUAAACUAAGUGAAGUUGAAUUACUUUGUUUGAUGCCGGUCCGGAGUAGGCUUCAGUAUAGAAAAUUGAGAUAUGCCCAGCUGCUCCUUGCUAUGCACGUUCACACAGACGUGUGUGAAAAAGAGACCGCUGUGCAUAAGCACGGUGGGAGGGAGAUGGGUCUGUUUGUCUUGCAAGAAUGAAUUCUUGCAGAUGAAUUGUAACGAUACCACCCUUAUAAGUUCUCUAUAUUGCUUCUGUUUGUUUCACAUCGCACUCAUUACAAUGGGUGCUUGCUAGCAACAGAAUUCUAAGUGAUAUUUAAAAAGUGAUAUUUAGAACCAAACUUUUUUUUUUUUUUUUUGCUUUGGACUGUAAUUUCAGUGUAAUUGGGGUGGGGAGACCUGCAUUACACUUGCAAAAGUUGCAAAGGAACACGUUGUUAUUUAUUGGCAGACAGAUUUUUCUCUAUGUCCCGCAGGACGCCAAUCCUCCUAACCCUUUCCUAAGGUUUUCUAUCUAUCGGGCUAGAAAAGGAAGCGGGGCGGGGGGGGAAGGGGGGGAAGAUGUGGAGUGUGGGCAUUUGCGAGGUUGUGAUUUAUGCAGGUUCGGGGCUGUUUGGUGUAGUGGUACGACACAGCACCGGGGUCAAGCCACAAGAAACACUGGGGGGCAGAUCAGAAUAUUCAAUUAGCUUCCUGGCACCUCUGAAUCACAAAGAGAGGAUAAGAUCUCUCCAUCACAAGAUCCAGAGCUGCCGGGGGAGGGGACCUGCCCUCUUCAAAUCUCCCUCCUCCCUCCCACCCGCUCUCCUUUCACCGUAGGAGAACAGCGCUUGAAACAUUCCUUUCUGCACGGAAGGACUUUUCCUAUUGUUGUUUUCUUUGUGUUUCAGUGUUGCCAACUUACUGGAAUUCUUGUCGUGGUUUCACAGCAAGGCUCAGGCUGACCAAACGGAACCAGCUGCGUUUGUGUAUGGGGCCGCCGCCGCUUUAAUCCCCCAACAACGCUGGUGGGGAGGGACGGAAGGGAUCCUCGAAGGGGCACGGGCAGAUCCGCUCAGUACAGAUGAGUACCUGAAAAGCCAACACACCGACACCGUUCUUAAUUAGAAGGGGAACGGUUUAAAGCUGCUCACAUCCCAGCAGUGCACAGACAGGGCCUGAGAGCGGCAACCGCAGACUGGGAGCUACGUGAACCCUUGGUCACUGCUUCUUGGGUGGCUGGAUGCAAGGUUUGGGAGGCACCUGUUUCACACAGCUGGCACACAGAAAGCACGCUCCUGCCUCCUUUGCCUUUACGAGUGCUACACAUGACCAUUUCCCAGAGGGCUGGGGGAAAGAGUUAUUCUUAAACGGGAACGAAUGGAGGCACCACAAACAGUGAGGGCAAGCCCUAUACUGAGACCGUGGGUCAGCCCUCCUCACCAUUAUUCCUAACACUCAAAUAGAAGUUACCCAGUUACUUUACUGGAGAAGAAUGAGAGUCACUAAGGAGCCAGCACAGGAUCAUGUUGUUUUCAGUUUACUUAAUAGAAAAUUUUCUUCUCUCACUUAACCUUACCCCCCAACCAAAGGGACCCUAUUCUUCUGGACACCGUCAUUUUAGGAGAUACAUUUUAGGAGAGCUGAGCUGCAAGAUGAAACACACUGUUUCCUGUAACUACAUCCAAAACUGUACCGACCUACUGCAGCUCUCCCUCUUAUCUUCCUGUUGACUGUCAGUCGAACACUUUCUGACUGAGCUAGACCUAGGGUUUUCUAAUGCAUUAUUUGAGGUUUAAGAUGCAUAUUACAUCUGCUACAGGGUUAGAGGGAGAAAAGCAGAAAUGCAGUAAUUUACUGAACUCUGGGUUUAAUUCAAAAUAUAGUUUGGGAAGUGUUUGUUUGCCUAGUCUGUGCUGUAAGCAAGCAAUUGAAAGAGCUCUUAACAUUAUAAUUUAGAGCAAACAGCCAUGUUGCUUACGCAUGGAAAGGUGCAUGCUAAGCACUCAAGUUAAAAAUUGAAAGGCCUGAUUUCUGACCAAAGUUCAGUUCUAAUUUGCAGUACCCAAGCUCAUCCAGUUCUUAACAAGUAGACAAAAACACCACGGUUGAUGUAUGACUAGAUAAAGACACAAAGCUGAUGGCUAAAGGAGGAGGGGAGAGAUUCACUCAAAGAAGCAGCAGGUCAGACAAAUUUCUCGUCUGUUCUCAACUUCUCAGGACAGUUUACAGAGGCUCAGAUCUGCCUCGUGCAUUAUCCAGGGCUUUAUUGGGUAAUGUAAGUGCCACUGGCAUUUGGUAAUCUUGUAGCCAAUGUGUCCUUGAAUAAACCUAAGUUUUUCCAAAUA